rnacentral:piRNA from 1 species
UGUGAAGACUGUGGUGUUUCCUAAGC